UUCCCUGUCCGCUCCCUCGCGCUCAGCCCCCAUCUCGACAGCAUUCACUUACGUUUUCCAGCAGCGAGCGGCCCGGGACCCGGCCGCGCCGCCAUGACACCUGCUGCCACGCGCCCGCCCCGCAGCGCCGCCAUUUCCUGAGGGCUCCGCGGCGUUUCCGGGGGCGGCGCCUUCAGGCGCGGGAUGAACGCGGCGCCGUUGCGCAGCCCGGCGCGCAUGCGUGACGCCGUGCGGGAGGGGCGGGGGCCGGGGACGCGCCGCAGAUAUUAGCGUACGAAAGUAACAUUUAAGAGCAGAAAAUGAGCUGAACUAAGGCAGUGCGAGAGAGGCGUGAUGUCACUGAGAUCCGUACCUCUGGACGGCUUUUAUUGGAAGUGCCGCGGUGGGGCUGCGGCUCAGCACGCGCUUCCCUUUUCCAGACCCUUCUAGAAACACCAUUGACUCCUUACAGUCUGCCAGCAUGGAUAUUCGGGGGCUGCUCGCUCAGCUUCAGGGCUUGGUUGCGCAGGGAGAAGUUUCCCUCUGCUCUGCUGUGUCCUGAGAGCCAUCUGUUCGUGCAGCUGGAUGCUCUCUCCACAGCUGCCCCCAAAAGCUGUGUCUGAUGUGAUGCGUGCCGUUCCCUGCCCAGGCCCUGGCUCUGCAUGUUGGCUGGGCACCGUGCCUGUUCACUGACGCUCUGUCACUGCAGCCUUACUUACGGGAAGCAGUGUCUGAAAUAGGUGGCACGGCCCACCGCCCCGGACAGGAGCGGGGACUCAGUAUGUGUGGUGGUGGCACUGCGCUUGCCGUGAGCAUGGCUGAAAUGCAGAGGGAAGGCUGAGGGGAUGGUUUCCUGCCUCCCCAGGAGCUCUGACCUGCAGCUCUGUAAAGCGUCAGUGGCAAACCGUUAUGAAAUCAUCUGCUCUUUCAUUUUCUCUUUUGAAAAAUUGUUAUAGUUCGAGCCCAGGCCCUCAGCAGCAGCCUGGCAGCCCCCAGGUCUAGGCCAGGAAAAGGGAAUUCCCCUAUAAAGAAAAAAAUUCCUGUAAAGAAAAAUAUUAGUAGCAAAAAAACCAUCUAUUUUAGGUAAAAAAGGACAGUUCCUGGUGGAAAAGCAGUACUCCUUGCAUGUUCCAUGCUGCAGACACCAAGCGAUUCUUGUCAAGCACAUCCCAUUUCAUCUUUAGGCUGAAGACAAAGUGGUGACAGCCCCCUCCUCUGAAGAGCUGCAGGAUGACCAGGAUAACAUCGUUCUGCUGGGUUCUAAGCUGCACUGCACACUGAACUUGGCACAUAGCACCUCAGGGAGAGCUCAGAGCUAAUGGAAUGAAAGCUAGGGAAGGACUGACAUCAGAGACUGCUUUGGAAUAUUAAAGACAGACAGGACCAACUUCUCACUUGAAUGACUGCACAGUGGCUAAAUUCGUCCUUUCAAUCCAAACCCAGGCAGUCACCUUCCUCACUUCUUUCUAAGACUGAACAUUGCCGUGCUAUUCCUCAACCUCAAGGGAAGUGUGUGUGAUUAAAGGAUGAAGUAACUAAUUUUAAUUACCGUGGUCUGAGCUAAGAUUAGUUUUAGCUCCAGCAAUGACUCUUGCCACUCGAAGGGGGGAGCAAGCAACCCAGGAAAGGAGAGAUUCAGACUUCAAGUGUCCAUGGCUGCUUGCAUUUGCUAACACAACCCCACAGACAGAGGUGCCUAUGAACACUCCCAAACUUCAGUUUGCAUGUGGGAGAACAGUAUAAAAGACCUUGCAGACACAUACACCCUGCAUGCAGCAGCAAUGUGCUGCUCACAAUCUGCUUCACUUAACUAUGCUUGCUUUCUCCUGGCAGUGGAUACCAGCAUAGGGCUUUCAGCCAUUAUGGGGUGUUUUUCCGGGCUCACUUCAAUCAUAAAAAAGAAGACUAUUGUUCUGAGAGGGAAAAAGUGGAACACCGGAAGAUGAGAAUCCUUUCCCGGGCCCGAGAAAGACUGUUAGGCUACAGGCUGGGCUUGAAGGUCCAGGAGCUGAAAGGCAUUUAGAAGCCUCAAGCACAUUUUGCUUAAUGGAUCUGAGUCCCAUGGCCUUUUAAAUGCAGUUGCCUUGCUUGUUAUAGAGGAUUCUAAUACAUAACCAGACAUGGGUAGCAAAGCUAAAUUCACUGAGGUUUGAUGGGAAGUGUGGGAGAAGAUUCUUAAAGAUGUUAAAUAAGGAAAGAAAAUGAAAACACAAGACACUGCCCUAGUAAUGUUCAAAGCAGGCAGCGUGAGAUAGCAUUCAGAAGCCCUUUGCCUACAGAGCCGUCAUUUCAGCAGAACAAAGAAAUAUGUGAAGCACCUGGACGUCCCCUUCGUUCUGAACCAGCAGUACAGGCUGCACAGGGAUACAGCAGUAAUUUAAAAGCUUGUUUCCUGCAUCCGAAUGCCACGUCAGGAUGAAAUGCAAUCCAUCCCACUCUCACUUAACGAACACCCCUGGGACCGCUGUACCUUGGAGGCAUGAUGUCACGCGUCAAUGGAGAUUAUUUAUUUUGAAGCUUGCUAAUAGCUCCGAGACUUCACUUCAGAGGGCUCCACUCAGUCAUGACUCAAACCCGCCUCGUCUCACAGAAGGACACAGCUGACUACGCUUUCCUUGUGCUGUUUCUGAGCAUCCUGUGAGGGAUUAGUAGAUAUUUAAUUUUAUUAUCCUUUCUCCUCUUUUAUGUGGGAAUGGCUUUAUCAUUGCUUGAAUACCUUCGCGUUCAUGACACAUUUUCUUAAAUGUCAUAUCAAUGAUGUCUCUGCUGAGACACAGCUACCAAGAAAAGCACCGGAACAAAAAUGAAGACAUUCAUUCAAUUUUGAGUGAUUUUUAACUUAUAUACAGUCACUGGGAAAACUGUAGUAUAAAAGCCAGAUUCAGACUUGUGACAAGGUGGCUGUGUGCAAUGCCUGUCUGUUUUCUCCUGUUGGAGGAAGCAGUUAUUACCCAGAAUUUUAUACCUAUCUCUUGAAGGGACCAAGAUAUUCAUGCUAAAGAACAAACUUCUUUUUUUUUUUAACCAGAUCAGAAUAGUUCCAGGCUCACCCGAAAGCUAGUAAACCUGACACCCAGGUCUAGCAGCAGUAUGACCUGACUGAAAACAUGAAAAACAGCAAAUAAUCCUGAACGGCUCGUUUAAUGCUGAAUUGCUGAACCUUAUUCAGUUUUAGAACACAGUGUAAGAUUAAAACCCCAGAGGUGAAUAAGAGAACUCUCCAUCAUGUCGGCUAUGCUGGAAUUUACUCUUUUACUAGCAUUAAAUCAAUAAUAAAUGACGAGUGUAGACACCGUCUAAGACUGCUGGCCUGCCUGAUAUUGGGAAUAAUUUUAGACAUACUCUUCCAGUUUUCUCCAGUAUUCUUCCUUCAGCAGUGAAAGACCACCACUACAUCAGUAAAUGCCUGGUUUCUGUCCCAAGCAGAGCUCCAUGGUGCCAGACUGGAAAAGCAAAAGGGAUGUAUCUGUACAGAGAAGCUCAGUGGGAAGCCAGCUUGGACAUUCUCUGGACCCAUGUGCUGUUGCUGUUCCUCUCCUAUCCUCUUUGCAGUUUUCCUCUGAUGGAGCCUGAGUAGCCUUUCCUUGAACUAGGUACAGGAGCCUGCAUGCAAUGGAAGAGAUUAACACCAGGUAGCAAAUUACAGCCAACUACAAUAGAGCACCUAACCCAGACACCACGCAGGAAGGGGGAACACUGGCAGGGUCAGAGCAGCACUGGCAGAAAGGCACGAUGCAAACACAACAGCAGUGAGAUACAGAUGGUGGCAGCCCAUGAAUAUCAUCAGCUUGGAGAUGAAGGACAACCACAUAAACAGGUAACAACAGGAGAGCUCACCUCUUCCUUUCUUACCUGCUUUUAGGGCUCCAACUGCUGCAGUCCCUGAACUGCUCCAUUGUCCACAUGUCCUCAGCUUGUGCUUCCUGAAGAAUGGUUCAAAAUGUCUCUUCUCUAAAGUCAGUCGGUUGCCUCUGAAUUGGCAACAGUCAGCGAUUCCUUCAGUGCUUUUGGAGUGCCUUCCUGCCUACAGGAAAUGCUGACAGAAUCCUCCCUUAGUCCUUCAGUGCCAUACAGCCCAGCACGGCUUCCAGCUGUGUGCGGUGCUGUCUCAGCGCACACGAGGGAUCGGUGGACUUGCCAAGGGCAGGCUGCAGAGGGACUUGCAGCCAUAUCCCACC